AGAGUUUGAUCCUGGCUCAGGAUGAACGCUGGCGGCGUGCCUAACACAUGCAAGUCGAGCGAUUCUCUUCGGAGAAGAGCGGCGGACGGGUGAGUAACGCGUGGGUAACCUGCCCUGUACACACGGAUAACAUACCGAAAGGUAUGCUAAUACGAGAUAAUAUGCUUUUAUCGCAUGGUAGAAGUAUCAAAGCUCCGGCGGUACAGGAUGGACCCGCGUCUGAUUAGCUAGUUGGUAAGGUAACGGCUUACCAAGGCGACGAUCAGUAGCCGACCUGAGAGGGUGAUCGGCCACAUUGGAACUGAGACACGGUCCAAACUCCUACGGGAGGCAGCAGUGGGGAAUAUUGUACAAUGGGCGAAAGCCUGAUGCAGCAACGCCGCGUGAGCGAUGAAGGCCUUCGGGUCGUAAAGCUCUGUCCUCGAGGAAGAUAAUGACGGUACUUGAGGAGGAAGCCCCGGCUAACUACGUGCCAGCGGCCGCGGUAAUACGUAGGGGGCUAGCGUUAUCCGGAAUUACUGGGCGUAAAGGGUGCGUAGGUGGUUUCUUAAGUCAGAGGUGAAAGGCUACGGCUCAACCGUAGUAAGCCUUUGAAACUGGGAAACUUGAGUGCAGGAGAGGAGAGUGGAAUUCCUAGUGUAGCGGUGAAAUGCGUAGAUAUUAGGAGGAACACCAGUUGCGAAGGCGGCUCUCUGGACUGUAACUGACACUGAGGCACGAAAGCGUGGGGAGCAAACAGGAUUAGAUACCCUGGUAGUCCACGCCGUAAACGAUGAGUACUAGCUGUCGGAGGUUACCCCCUUCGGUGGCGCAGCUAACGCAUUAAGUACUCCGCCUGGGAAGUACGCUCGCAAGAGUGAAACUCAAAUGAAUUGACGG
rnacentral:rRNA from 1 species